UUUUGUGAGCGGUAAGUCCUAUCUGGGUGCCUGCGGUGUUCCCCUCCAUGGAGGGCAUGAGCCGCGGGGUCACGAACCCGGAGGGCACGCUCGUCAA
rnacentral:sRNA from 12 species